rnacentral:snoRNA from 1 species
UGGCUCUGAACACUAGUCCUAAAAGGAGAAAUAGUAAUUCUGUAGCUGGCCUCACAGGACUCAUAGUCAGCCAUGCAGCACAUGGGCUAGUUUCAAACAGGG